rnacentral:rRNA from 1 species
UUUCCCUCAGGAUAGCUGGCACUCGCUUGAGCGAGUCUCAUCUGGUAAAGCGAAUGAUUAGAGGCCUUGGGGCCGAAACGACCUCAACCUAUUCUCAAACUUUAAAUGGGUGAGAUCUCUGGCUUGCUUGAACGUUGAAGCCACGAGAUGAAUUUUUAUUUCAUUUGGAUCAGAGUGCCAAGUGGGCCAAUUUUGGUAAGCAGAACUGGCGCUGUGGGA